AUGAUUGCACAAGAUAGUGAAAAUAUGUUAUAUAGAGGGAAGCGGUGCCAUCAAAUCGUGAGUAAUGGCAGUGAAACCAAAAAGCACCCUUAACCUGCUACAUACGACUGGAAGCAAGCGUGCCAGAGUUGGGUCAGCGAGUGAGCGAUUAGUAGUACAUUAAGGGCGAGAGUAGCGGCUUAGGUUAUCAAUUACCGACUUCUCCUUCCGGGAUAGAGAGUUUGUCCUGGGGAACUUUCGAUCUGGCCCUUUCUUUUCAUCUGUCUUCUGCCACCAAGUACGCGUACUACCUGUACCCCUUCUGCCAAGGGCUUAAUUUCCUUCUUAAUCCGCUUAAGCAGAAUUAG